rnacentral:lncRNA from 1 species
AAACAAUAAGAAAUCUUAAAAAAGUUGAAAGAUAAUCCAUAAUAAAUCUUAAGAGAAUCCUUAAGAAGCUCUAAAAAAUAUUAAAAUAAUCAUAGUAUAUCUUAAAUAAAUCUCAAUGAAGUUCUAAUUUAAUUGUAGUUGAAAUUCUAAUGGACGUCAAUCAAAUCCUAAACAAAUCCUAAAUUCUAAAUCUAACCCAAGGUAAAUCCUAAAUUUUAAAUCAAAUCCGAACUAAAUUCUAAUUAAAUUCUAAAUCUUAAACUGAAUCCUAAUAAAAUCCUAAAUCCUAAAGUAAAUCCUAAUCAAAUCCUUUUCCCUAAAUCAAAUCCUAGACAAAUCAUAAAUCCUAAACCAAAUCCUAAUCAAAUUCUAAGCUCUAAAUCAAAUCCUAAGGUAGUUUAUAACAUCAAUAUCUUUUGAUUGAACCAUUGAUCUUGUUUUAAAUUUUACACACC